rnacentral:lncRNA from 1 species
AUGAUUUUCUUCUUUCACCACUUGGUCUUGCUGGCCACAGACUUAUUUCUCGCCGUGAUCCUUUCUUGUCUCCUUUAUGCCUUUGCAUUCAUUUCCAUCGCGUUUUUGACCUGCUUCAUUAUCUUCUGGUCCUUCAGCAUCGUAGAGAAGAACAUUGACAUAAAAGGGAGAGCAAUUGUAAUUCUUGUAUCCAACAGCUCAAUUGGGAGGACGUUUGCUAGGAACUUGGAUAAAGCAGGUUUUAGGGUGUCUGCUGCACACUGGCCUCCUCAAGAGGAGGGAACAACUGUGAAAGAAGAGUGCUCUUCAAGAAUGGAGAUAGCACAGCUCCACAUGACAGAUGACGAGUAUCAGAAGACUAUGAAAACCUUCAUAGAAAGCCACUUAUCCCUGAAAGGCAUGUAUGGGCUGAUGAAGAAGCCAUCACUCCUGAUAUGGGAAGAAGAGGAACCAGACACAUGUAGGUUACCUGAGGGAAGAACCGCUCAUAAAUGGAAGAAGGCUUUCAGGGUUCCAGCCCUCUGCAUCACAGCCCUCUUUUGCCCACUGAACUGUGCCCUGACUUUCCUGAAGAAGAGAGUUCUGCAGCCCUAUAUGCUCCUGAAGUCCAAACACUGAGAGGAAAGGAAUCCCAUGGAGCAACAUGUUAAUAUUCUAACGUCACAAAAAGAAGAUCCUACAGGAAGGAGCACAGCUGGGAUCAAAAAUGAGGGAGAACAUGAGUAGUGACUUAAGUCACACGACAAUGAAAAACUGCAGAUGAAGACAGAAAGCAACUUCUGAGCUAUGAUACAGGUCUCUAACUCACUUUCAAGUCUAAUGUGUAAACAAGAGGACACUGAUGUUUGGGGUUAUACGUUACAAUGCUGCACUGUACUCACUGGGAUGCACACACACAGAAAGAAAAAACAACAUGAGGUAGAAGAAAAUGAAGGAGUAAUUUCUCUGAGAAGAAAAAAGCAAGGGCUUAGCUUUCUUCAUCUGAAGCCACAACUCAGAACUAUCUGACUGAUGAUAAGAGGUGCCAUCCACCCAGGAGCUGGAUCCAGAGAGAAAAGGGAAAGCUUUCAGAACAGCUUCCAUAAGGCAUUAAAUCAGCUUGAUAUUCAGCCAGAUUGGAAACAAAUAUUUUAGUUUCAGAAUGUCACACAGCACUGGGAGAGAAACAUGCUAAAGCAGAAAAUUUCUGAAUGAACACCUUGUGGUUUUCAGUUUAUAUAUUUGACAAGCAUCGUGUUAUACUAAUAACACCAAUACCAUUUCUGCAGAAUAUUCCAGGAAAGGUGUCCCUUAGCCAGAACCCAGUUUGAGUCAGGGCUCUCAACUCAGUGUGUCAUUCCAUUCUGUGUAUGCUACCUUGUGCAAUUUCAGCUGAUAGACAUCAUUUUCUCUCCCAAACUAACACAGAGGGCUUGUGUGGGCUACCACCUGCCUAUUGCUUUUCCCCCUCAAAGUGUCCUUCACUCAAAGGCCAACAUCUACCUGUGUACACAGCAGUCUCCACUGUCUGAACCUAGAGACAUUGUAUGAAUGAAGCUCCAAAGACUCCACUGGAAAUUUUGCUUGCCCAAGGAUGUAAGGAUGGUUCUAGUGCAUUGGGAUGCAGAGAGCUACUGCAUGCAGGCAUGAAAUUGUGACUGAGAGGAAAUACCACCACAAGAUAAGCUAUAAUAUAACUGCACUUAAAAAUGUGUUUAGAACAAAUUUGCUGUAUCCAACUAACACUGAAUUAGAAUAGGCUGAAGUUCUGAGAUUCCUGAAGCUGAUUCAGGGAUCUGAGUGCCUGAUUGCUUUUAAUUUGGGUGGUAAUGAGAGAUUUGAAUUCCUUAAACCAAACAAUGUUUUAGCACUAAUGCAUGUGUUAAUUGUGAAUCUAUGACUGAUGCUAUGACUGAUGCUCUUUCUUCCUUGAUGUUUGUAUUCCUAUAAAAAAGAAAAACCACCACUAAGACAGCAUUCCCUGGUUGAAUACUUGUCAACAUUGUCGUUUGCUCACUAGUACUCUCCCUCAGUUUUUUUCAGGCCCUUUUCUCAAGGUGUUCCUCCUUGAACAGAGGUUAGCCACACAGCUAGCUCCAAUAAGGCAGAGUCCAGCAGGUGCUACUCACCUCCAGACAGUGCCUGGAGGGUGUUUCAAAUAGCCAUGGCUUUCCAAAUGAGAAAUGUCCCCAUAUGCGUUUACAAAAAAAAGAAAAAAGAAAAACAAAAGGGGAGGAGUAAGAGAAUAAUAAUGAUUAGCAUAAUGGAAUUUGCUAUUCUUGUUAAUAGUGUAAUCAAAAUGAACAUUUACUGAACCCUCUCAUGCGCUUGCCACAAUCAAAGUGCUUUAUAUUUAGCUUAGCACUUGUAAGUCCUGGUUAGUACUGUCUGUAUCUCUGCUGCCCACUUAGGCAACAAAAAAGUCAGGAAUGAAGCCUGGCACUGGGACCUGCAUUUCCUGACACCUAAAAACCCUGCAAUGCACAAGUGGUAUUUCCUCAGCUGCAUGUGUGGUGGCUGUGCUGCAUUUGCCAGAGACAUGAUACAGAAUAGACAGAUCUCAGUGUUUGUGGGACUUGCUGUGUAUGUGCAAGUGAAGUACAGACAUGCUGUGCUCCAAGGCACCACUUGCUCCACCUCUACCCUUGGAGCUAUGCAUGCCUCUCACCUGUGCUGGAGGUGACCCAACACUCCUACAGCUUUGCGGAUGACGCACAGUUGGAUCUUGCACUUCUCAUACAGUCUUUACUUGAGGAAAUCACUUAGCAGCAGCCCCUGCUUUGUGAGUUCGUUAACUAGUUGCUGAAGAAUACAUACAAGACACAAAAGCAGACAGAUACAGAGGGAUGGGGCAGGAUGCUGGUGGCAGGGUGGAACGAUACCAGUCCCACAGAGCUGAUGGAGUGAGGGUGGAGGUGCCACAAUAGCUUUGUUGGGUUUUGUCCUAGAGCAGUUAUAAUUGCUACUUUGUACCUGAUCAUUUAUGAUAUAUUAUGCUAUGUUCUGCUAUAUGAUACCAAUAUGUCCUGUGGAACCCCAGGCCUUUCUUAUAAUCCUCAUCAUUCAACUUGAUUUUAGGCAGAGAGGGAGAAAAAUUGACUUAAGUAUUGCUUUCAAGUCUCUAAAAAAAUGAUGCUAAAAGCAUGUAAAACCAUCCUGUUGGUUUACCACUACACAGCUAAUUUAAAUUGGCUUUGAAAUAAGCUGAGAGCAUCUCCAAAUUGAUGAUUGCAAAGUGGGGGUGGGAUUGGGUGCUAUACUAACAAGACACCCACAGCCCUACAAGGCAGAUUUCCCAGCAGAGCACUUUUCCCCAUUGCAGAGUUUGAGGGAGGGGGACACUUCAUGUCCCCUGUGCCUCCUCAAGCUUGUCCCCAGUGACCUCAGAACAGGGGAAGUUGUGCCAUUUAGAGAUCCUGGUCUCUGAGCAGACACACACUGCUGUAACAGCAAAUGCCACAGGCAGCAUCUGUCCAAGGAGCCAGGAUACCAUGUUCCAGAACACAGGAACACUGAGAUAUGUAGUCACAAUAUUAGUUGGCUGUAAUGCGUCCAAUUUAUUUUGGCAUUUCCAAGGGGAAAAAAAAUAGCAAAAACAGCUGCAGGUGAUACUGUUGUAUCAGCACUGAGAAGCAUGGAAAAAUACAACUGCAAGAAAUCUUGGGAUGUAUUAUUUUAAUUUUACUAUUUAGGAAAUAAGAGGGGGAAAUAGCACCUUUCCAGUAUGUCACUUAGGUGCACUUUGUGCUGCACAGUACCACAGGUCAAAUCAUUCCUAAGGCAAGGCCUGAAAGACUUUAAGCUCAUUGCCACAAAAAUAUAUUCAAAGAGAAGCAAAUGCAGAUAACUCUGGAAUACAGAAGGAGUUAUAUGUUAUAUGCCUCCACACAGUUAGGAGAAUUGGAAUAAUUACAAGCUUAUCAGACCUAAGGCCAUGGUGGAGCAGCAAGCAUGAAACACAAGCUUUGUGCUAAGACUAGAGUGCUCCAACUCCUUGCUUUUUUUCCAGUUGAUGCAAGAGCCUGGCCCCUUUGUAAGCAGCAACAGGAGCCUUAUGGAGUUUGAAAAAAGGGCAGAGAGAAAGCUGAGUGGUUUGGAGUCCUAAUCCUGUGUCCUGGGAGUCAUUUGUGUGCCAGAUAAGCUUUGGGUAACUCUGCUGACCCAUCAUCUAACAAUAUAUACACUCAAACAUCUCACUCAAGAUUCAGAUACAUACCUGAACCUUUUCAAAAGCGUGGUUAAGUUUGAUUUCAGGAAUCUCAGGUUAGGAGCCUCAGACAUGGGUUAUUCCCUCAAUCAAUCAUUUCUCCAGAUGAGAACUUAAAGAAACUGUUUUCUCAGGAUUUUGUCUAUAAAAGGAGUGCAGAAGCUGAGCAAAAAGUCAAUUAUCUUUGUUUUUCCCUACUCCUCUUUUUGAAUGCAAGAAUUUUAUUAUAGAUCACUAAGAAGUGAUCUAUAAUAAAUAAAGCAAUGAAGCAAGAAGAAGCUGACGU